UACGGAAGGGGCAAGCGUUGUUCGGAAUCAUUGGGCGUAAAGGGCGCGUAGGUGGUUCUGUAUGUCUACCGUGAAAGCAUACAGCUCAACUGUAUUUUGUCGGUAGAAACUGCAGGACUUGAGGCUGGGAGGGGCUGGUGGAAUUCCCUGUGUAGCGGUGAAAUGCGUAGAGAUGGGGGAGAACACUCGUGGCGAAGGCGGCCAGCUAGACCAGGUCUGACACUGAGGCGCGACAGCGUGGGGAGCAAACAGG
rnacentral:rRNA from 1 species